CCCCGCCUCCCAGCAGCCAUCAACACCGACACCAUGGACACAGAGACGCCGCCAAAGCCGGAUCAAUGGGCGACGGUGUGACCAGCCGGAUGGGCAGACAAACGCAGUAAACCCAGCACUCAUUGGCUGCCUGGGAGAAUGCAAUUGUCGCUGACAGGUCACAUCCAUCAUUGAAGUCCUAGAAUCAUAAUGAAUGGAAACAGACCCUUCAGACCAACUAAUCCAUGCUGACCAAGUUGCCCCUCCAAGUGAAGUUCAAUUUCAAGUUUAUUGUCAUUAACUGUACACAUGGAUACUGCCAAAUGAAACAAUAUUCCUCUGGACCAAGAUAAUGCCUGACCUGCUGAGUCCCUCCAGCAUUUUGUGCGUUUUGCUUCAGACUUCCAGCAUCUGCAGAAUCACUUGUGUUUGGGAAAAGGUUGUUUGCCUGGCACCAGGCCUCAAGCUCUUCCACCUCCUCUCAUUGACAUUGGUGAUUAGCCCCACCACUGUCAUGUCACUGGUGAACGUUUUCAGCAUCUACCAUAUGUCAAUUCCUAGAAGGGUUUACAUGACAACCCAGAGAAUCUCACAUCCCAAGAAACUGCCUGAAAGGAAACUGUUUGGAUGUGGGCAGCAGAAUCUCUGACAAUGGCCAAAUUAAAGUAGGCAAAACAAUCAUAUUUCAAAAUGCUCAAAAUUACUUACUGGAGAAUAAAGCCUCUUCAGGCAUAUUUAUCUUUGAAC